rnacentral:rRNA from 1 species
AGCGAACGCUGGCGGCAGGCCUAACACAUGCAAGUCGAACGAUCCUUCGGGAUAGUGGCGGACGGGUGAGUAACACGUGGGAACGUGCCCUUUGGUUCGGAACAACUCAGGGAAACUUGAGCUAAUACCGGAUGUGCCCUUCGGGGGAAAGAUUUAUCGCCAUUGGAGCGGCCCGCGUUGGAUUAGGUAGUUGGUGGGGUAAUGGCCCACCAAGCCUACGAUCCAUAGCUGGUCUGAGAGGAUGAUCAGCCACACUGGGACUGAGACACGGCCCAGACUCCUACGGGAGGCAGCAGUGGGGAAUCUUGCGCAAUGGGCGAAAGCCUGACGCAGCCAUGCCGCGUGAAUGAUGAAGGUCUUAGGAUUGUAAAAUUCUUUCACCGGGGACGAUAAUGACGGUACCCGGAGAAGAAGCCCCGGCUAACUUCGUGCCAGCCGCCGCCGUAACAC